rnacentral:rRNA from 1 species
GCGCGUGCUAUAAUGCAGUCGAGCGGACAGAUGGGAGCUUGCUCCCUGAUGUUAGCGGCGGACGGGUGAGUAACACGUGGGUAACCUGCCUGUAAGACUGGGAUAACUCCGGGAAACCGGGGCUAAUACCGGAUGGUUGUUUGAACCGCAUGGUUCAAACAUAAAAGGUGGCUUCGGCUACCACUUACAGAUGGACCCGCGGCGCAUUAGCUAGUUGGUGAGGUAACGGCUCACCAAGGCAACGAUGCGUAGCCGACCUGAGAGGGUGAUCGGCCACACUGGGACUGAGACACGGCCCAGACUCCUACGGGAGGCAGCAGUAGGGAAUCUUCCGCAAUGGACGAAAGUCUGACGGAGCAACGCCGCGUGAGUGAUGAAGGUUUUCGGAUCGUAAAGCUCUGUUGUUAGGGAAGAACAAGUACCGUUCGAAUAGGGCGGUACCUUGACGGUACCUAACCAGAAAGCCACGGCUAACUACGUGCCAGCAGCCGCGGUAAUACGUAGGUGGCAAGCGUUGUCCGGAAUUAUUGGGCGUAAAGGGCUCGCAGGCGGUUUCUUAAGUCUGAUGUGAAAGCCCCCGGCUCAACCGGGGAGGGUCAUUGGAAACUGGGGAACUUGAGUGCAGAAGAGGAGAGUGGAAUUCCACGUGUAGCGGUGAAAUGCGUAGAGAUGUGGAGGAACACCAGUGGCGAAGGCGACUCUCUGGUCUGUAACUGACGCUGAGGAGCGAAAGCGUGGGGAGCGAACAGGAUUAGAUACCCUGGUAGUCCACGCCGUAAACGAUGAGUGCUAAGUGUUAGGGGGUUUCCGCCCCUUAGUGCUGCAGCUAACGCAUUAAGCACUCCGCCUGGUGAGUACGGUCGCAAGACUGAUACUCAAAGGAAUUGACGAGAGCCCGCACAAGCCGUUGGAGCAUGUGGUUUAAUUCAAAACCACGCGAACAACCUUACAAGGUCUUGACAUCCUCUGACAAUCCUAGAGAUAUUACGUCCCCGUCACGGGCAGAGUGACCCGUUGUUGCAAGGGUUGUCGUCAGCUCCUCGUCAAGAAGAAGUUUGUGUUAAGUCCCAAAAACUAAUGUCAACCCCUUGGAUCUUAGUUUGCCACCAAUUCAUUUUGGGCACUCUUAGAGGUAACUUGCCCGUUGAACAAUCCCGCAAGGAAGGUCGGG